CAGCAGCCGCGGUAAUACGGAGGAUCCGAGCGUUAUCCGGAAUUAUUGGGUUUAAAGGGUGCGUAGGCGGACAGAUAAGUCAGUGGUGAAAGACGGUGGCUCAACCAUCGCAGUGCCGUUGAUACUGUUUGUCUUGAAUAUGGAUGAGGUAGGCGGAAUGUGGCAAGUAGCGGUGAAAUGCAUAGAUAUGCCACAGAACACCGAUUGCGAAGGCAGCUUACCAAGGCAAUAUUGACGCUGAGGCACGAAAGCGUGGGGAUCGAACAGGAUUAGAUACCCCGGUAGUCCCUGUCUCUUAUAC
rnacentral:rRNA from 1 species